rnacentral:rRNA from 1 species
UGCGCAGGCGGCCUGGUAAGUCAGGGGUGAAAUAUGACGGCUUAACCGUCAAACUGCCCCUGAAACUGUCAGGCUUGAGUCCGGGAGAGGAAGGUGGAAUUCCAGGUGUAGCGGUGAAAUGCGUAAAUAUCUGGAGGAACACCGGUGGCGAAGGCGGCCUUCUGGCUCGGAACUGACGCUCAGGCACGAAAGCUAGGGGAGCGAACAGGAUUAGAUACCCUGGUAGUCC